rnacentral:rRNA from 1 species
AUUGAACGCUGGCGGCAGGCCUAACACAUGCAAGUCGAGCGGCGCGGUGGACGCGUGCGUAUUUCCUAGGAAUCUGCCCGGUAGUGGGGGAUACCGUCCGGAAACGGGCGCUAUUACCGCAUCCUAUCAGAUGCACCUGGGUCGGACUAGCAAGUUGGUGGGGUAAAGGCCUACCAAGGCGACGAUCCGUAACUGGUCUGAGAGGAUGAUCAGUCACACUGGAACUGAGACACGGUCCAGACGCCUACGAGAGGCAGCAGUGGGGAAUAUUGCACAAUGGGCGCAAGCCUGAUACAGCCAUGCCGCGUGUGUGAAGAAGGCCUUCGGGUUGUAAAGCACUUUCAGCGGGGAGGCGUUACCCGCAGAAGAAGCACCGGCUAACUCCGUGCCAGCAGCCGCGGUAAUUC